ensembl:lncRNA
UUAUUUAUUUACUUUUUUAUUUAUUUACUAAUUUAUUUACUUAUUUAUUUUUUUACUUUUUUAUAUGUGUCUUUCAAAUAUAAUACAUAUUGUUUAUUUUACUUUAUGUUUUUUAGGGGAUUUAGAAAUAACAAUAAGUAAUAUAUUAUAAAAAAAAAAAUACAAAUUAACUAAGCUUUGCACAACGUAGAACAAAUUAGUGCUUACGUAUAUUGACAAAGUUAAAAUUAAAAGUAAAAAAGAGGACUAAAAAAUAAUAUAAAUAUAUACACAUAUGUACAUAUAUAUAUACAUAUUUUUUGUUUUUUUAAAGUACAAGAAGCAGAAAUCGUUUUAGUAACAACAUCACUAGGAGGUAUAAAGACAUCAUUUUUUUCAUCAUUAAGAGCAUCCAACUUAUUAAAUUGUAAAAAAUAUUUAUAUUUUAUAAUAGACACAAACAGAGACACAGGAACAGCAAAAAACUUAAAAGAUACAGAAUUGUUUAAUAAAUGGAAAGAUGAUAAUUUACUUGCUUCGAAUGAAAAUGGAAUUAUUUUACCUCAAAUUUUAAUUGAUGGUGUCUCAAUAGGAAAUGAUAUAACAUUACAAAACUUGGAGGACGAAGGUCUUUUGGAUUUAAUUAUAUCUAGACAAAAAUGUCCCAAAUGCUUGAGUGAUAAAUCUAACACUGAUAUUACUUGUCCUAAUUGUAAUUGUGAUUACGUUAGUUUGAUUUCAGAUGAAUUAAUUAAAACUAAUGGUGUAAUCAGAUUAUUACAAGGAGAAUUAUAUAAUGCAGAUAAUGAAUUUAAUGAAAACGAGGAUUAUAUUUAUAAUUAAAAUAUAUAUAAUAUGACAUUUUGAAACAUAUAAAAAAAAAAAAAAAAAUACAUAUCUUAUGUAUAUAAUCGUUUUAACCUAUUAACACAUUUUUUUUUAGAUUAUAACCAAAGUAUACUGCAAAAAUCAUUUAUACAAAAAAAAUAAAAUAAAAAUAAUAAAGUUUAAUUUAUAAAUA